rnacentral:lncRNA from 1 species
CUUGUGUGCACACAUAGAUAUUCAUGUAUACUACACACCGAAAGGUGGAAUAAAUGUUUUGUCAAAAGUUCCAUGUAAUAGAAUUUGGGGUUUCCCAUCUAAAGGAAGGUGAUUUGAAGCUAUAAGUCAAAAAGUUUUCAUGAGAAGCUAUGAAGGUCUUGACUUUGAAUUUUAUUCUUUCUUCAGUGGUCAUUGGAAGGUGUUCACAGGGAAUGAGUUGGCGGCUCUGUUUGGGUGGUGGAUGUUUGAUUGCUGGAAGAAAAGUAAACCAAAUGCCGACGUGAAGAAUGUUUACAUGCUAGCCACCACUGUCUCUUCUAAAAUUUUAAAGGCAAUUGCCCUUAAAGAAGGAUUUCAUUUUGAAGUAAGAAUGAACUGAACUUCACUAGAAGUCUGUGUGCUGCUUUGCUAAACAUUUCUGUAAAGACAUCACUGUACCAAACUAACUUUCAUUGAUCUCAUUGAUAACUCUGUUUUCUACCUCAGUUCAUGCCUGAUCAAUAUUUUUGAUAAUUUAGACACCCUAGCCAAAAUCAUCUAGUAAGUGAAUUUCUGACUUAAGAUGAAAUGUUCUUUAAG